rnacentral:rRNA from 1 species
AGGUUAACCGAAUAGGGGAGCCGAAGGGAAACCGAGUCUUAACUGGGCGUUAAGUUGCAGGGUAUAGACCCGAAACCCGGUGAUCUAGCCAUGGGCAGGUUGAAGGUUGGGUAACACUAACUGGAGGACCGAACCGACUAAUGUUGAAAAAUUAGCGGAUGACUUGUGGCUGGGGGUGAAAGGCCAAUCAAACCGGGAGAUAGCUGGUUCUCCCCGAAAGCUAUUUAGGUAGCGCCUCGUGAAUUCAUCUCCGGGGGUAGAGCACUGUUUCGGCAAGGGGGUCAUCCCGACUUACCAACCCGAUGCAAACUGCGAAUACCGGAGAAUGUUAUCACGGGAGACACACGGCGGGUGCUAACGUCCGUCGUGAAGAGGGAAACAACCCAGACCGCCAGCUAAGGUCCCAAAGUCAUGGUUAAGUGGGAAACGAUGUGGGAAGGCCCAGACAGCCAGGAUGUUGGCUUAGAAGCAGCCAUCAUUUAAAGAAAGCGUAAUAGCUCACUGGUCGAGUCGGCCUGCGCGGAAGAUGUAACGGGGCUAAACCAUGCACCGAAGCUGCGGCAGCGACGCUGAUGCGUUGUUGGGUAGGGGAGCGUUCUGUAAGCCUGCGAAGGUGUGCUGUGAGGCAUGCUGGAGGUAUCAGAAGUGCGAAUGCUGACAUAAGUAACGAUAAAGCGGGUGAAAAGCCCGCUCGCCGGAAGACCAAGGGUUCCUGUCCAACGUUAAUCGGGGCAGGGUGAGUCGACCCCUAAGGCGAGGCCGAAAGGCGUAGUCGAUGGGAAACAGGUUAAUAUUCCUGUACUUGGUGUUACUGCGAAGGGGGGACGGAGAAGGCUAUGUUGGCCGGGCGACGGUUGUCCCGGUUUAAGCGUGUAGGCUGGUUUUCCAGGCAAAUCCGGAAAAUCAAGGCUGAGGCGUGAUGACGAGGCACUACGGUGCUGAAGCAACAAAUGCCCUGCUUCCAGGAAAAGCCUCUAAGCAUCAGGUAACAUCAAAUCGUACCCCAAACCGACACAGGUGGUCAGGUAGAGAAUACCAAGGCGCUUGAGAGAACUCGGGUGAAGGAACUAGGCAAAAUGGUGCCGUAACUUCGGGAGAAGGCACGCUGAUAUGUAGGUGAAGUCCCUCGCGGAUGGAGCUGAAAUCAGUCGAAGAUACCAGCUGGCUGCAACUGUUUAUUAAAAACACAGCACUGUGCAAACACGAAAGUGGACGUAUACGGUGUGACGCCUGCCCGGUGC